rnacentral:rRNA from 1 species
UACGGGGGGGGCAAGCGUUGUUCGGAAUUACUGGGCGUAAAGGGCUCGUAGGCGGCCAACUAAGUCGGACGUGAAAUCCCUCGGCUUAACCGGGGAACUGCGUCCGAUACUGGAUGGCUUGAGUAUGGGAGAGGGAUGCGGAAUUCCAGGUGUAGCGGUGAAAUGCGUAGAUAUCUGGAGGAACCCCGGUGGCGAAGGCGGCAUCCUGGACCAUUACUGACGCUGAGGAGCGAAAGCCAGGGGAGCAAACGGG